rnacentral:rRNA from 1 species
GAUGAACGCUGGCGGCGUGCCUAAUACAUGCAAGUCGAGCGAACGGACGAGAAGCUUGCUUCUCUGAUGUUAGCGGCGGACGGGUGAGUAACACGUGGAUAACCUACCUAUAAGACUGGGAUAACUUCGGGAAACCGUAGCUAAUACCGGAUAAUAUUUUGAACCGCAUGGUUCAAAAGUGGAAGACGGUCUUGCUGUCACUUAUAGAUGGAUCCGCGCUGCAUUAGCUAGUUGGUAAGGUAACGGCUUACCAAGGCAACGAUGCAUAGCCGACCUGAGAGGGUGAUCGGCCACACUGGAACUGAGACACGGUCCAGACUCCUACGGGAGGCAGCAGUAGGGAAUCUUCCGCAAUGGGCGAAAGCCUGACGGAGCAACGCCGCGUGAGUGAUGAAGGUCUUCGGAUCGUAAAACUCUGCUAUUAGGGAAGAACAUAUGUGUAAGUAACUGUGCACAUCUUGACGGUACCUAAUCAGAAAGCCACGGCUAACUACGUG